CCGAGAAUAGGGGCUUCAGCCCCGAACCUCCCACCCAAUGCGUAUCUUACCACCGUUGCUUUGGCGGGCCCGCGGGUCGAAACCGCCGCCGGCCUUUCGGGGCUUGACGAGUGUCCGCCAGAGUCCACCCAAACCCGUCUGAAUUUGGUGCCGUCUGAGAAGCAAAUUUUUAAUGGCAAA
rnacentral:misc_RNA from 1 species